rnacentral:rRNA from 1 species
CCUACGGGGUGCAGCAGUGGGGGAUAUUGCACAAUGGGGGGAACCCUGAUGCAGCGACGCCGCGUGGGUGAAGAAGCGCCUCGGCGCGUAAAGCCCUGUCAGCAGGGAAGAAAAUGACGGUACCUGAAGAAGAAGCCCCGGCUAACUACGUGCCAGCAGCCGCGGUAAUACGUAGGGGGCAAGCGUUAUCCGGAUUUACUGGGUGGAAAGGGGGCGCAGACGGCGAUGCAAGCCAGGAGUGAAAGCCCGGGGCCCAACCCCGGGACUGCUCUUGGAACUGCGUGGCUGGAGUGCAGGAGGGGUAAGCGGAAUUCCUAGUGUAGCGGUGAAAUGCGUAGAUAUUAGGAGGAACACCAGUGGCGAAGGCGGCUGACUGGACUGUAACUGACGUUGAGGCUCGAAAGCGUGGGGAGCAAACAGGAUUAGAUACCCUUGUAGUC